GAACAAAUUAAGUGUUGUAGCAUUGAUCAAAGUAGACUUUCGACCGUUCCUAAUUAUAUUUAGAUUGUACCUGUGGGAUAUGAAUUUGUUACCCAUUUCUUUGGAGUGUCGAUUGGCGAUUUCAAGUAUUUGAGAUGAAAUGAAUAAUCUAGAUUGCAAUAAUGCACCGGUUUAACUUUUUAAUAUAGAGCAGGGGCAAAAUUACUUUUGUUGGUUUUACUUAAUAUAUUGACCGCUUAUGUGGAGUUAUAAUUUAUAAUUUGUAUUAAUAUGGCAUGUCAUACUAGAUGGCUUACAUGCAGUGGCGGAGCCAAGUAGGUGCAUGGGGUCCACCGACCCCCCAACAUAAAAUUGGAAAAAAAAACUUAUAGCUGAGAUCUACGAGACCUGUUAUUAUAUAGGACCAAUUUCUUAGGUUAUAAAACACCUGCUACGCAGUAAGCCAUUGGGUCUACUAUAGAGAUAAUCCUAAGAGACCAGCCUUUAGAAAUAACUGAUUUCUUAGAGUUUUGAGUAACUACAGAGGAUAAUCCUAAGAACCAGUCUUUAGAAAAAACUGGUCUCAUAGAGUUUUGAAUUUAAAUACCGGCUCUUUUAAAUAAAGUUAGUCUUUUCCGUUUUCACCACACAUAUGAAAACCGUAGAGAAUAAGUGUAAUAAUUUUGUUCGAUUGUAAUAUGAAUAUUGAUUAAUUUUAGGACGAUACAUUUUUUUUAGUAAUAUAUUGUGUGUUGUGGAAGAUCACCAGACACAAAACUCUAAAAAUCAUGAGAACGCCAUUGCCGACACCCAAAAAAAAAAAUCCUGACUCCGCCACUGCUUACAUGCCUACAUCAAAAAUUCAAUUCUCUCUUUAUCUAAACAAAAGAUGUGCAAGUUUUCUGAAUAAACCAUUCGAGCCUCUCACAUUAGUUUGACACUGACUGAAUACAUUAUGCAGCUGCGAUAAAUGGUGUUUUCUUAUUGAGGUUGUCGUUAUAUUUUGCAAUUUGUACAUUCUCAGGCAAUUUCUUAUUAGUUAUUAAGACUUGAAGAUGCAUAUUAUAAUUAAUGUCUUAUCGCCAUCUUCUUUGCUCGCAUGAGAUUUGUUCCGGUAUUAGAAUCGGGUGGUGUGGUCGGAUCUUCGUAUCUUGAACGUGGAGGUGAUUUCCUGCAAGUGAACUCCGAGCCCGGGGAGGUUCCCCCGGAUCGGGGCCUCCGACGCCCAACAUUAGUGUCUGAUAUAAUAUAGA